UGUUGAGACCCCAGUUCCCAUAUGGUUACUGAAGUUAAAUAAUGUUGAGCUUGGUUUGUACCUAGAUGGGUGACCGUUUGGGAAUACCAGCUGCUGUAAG